rnacentral:rRNA from 1 species
AAUUCAAGGAUCUGAUGUAGCUACGACGAGCAUGCAGAGUUUCAUAUCAGACGAAGAUAGGGAUCAAAGCAAUCAGAACCGUCGUAGUCCAUCUAUAAACUAGCGGACUAAGGAAUGGAAUGCAAUUACCAUUUCAGUCCUUAAGAGAAUCCAAAGUCUUUGGGUCCGGGGAAGUAUGGUGCAAGACUGAAACUUAAAGAAAUUGACGGAAGGGCCCCACCAGGAGGGAGCUGCGGGGUGAGUUGGACUCAACACCGGCGAAACCUACCAGGUCCAGACAUAGUAGGAUUGGCAGAGUGAUGGCUCUUCUGAUUCUAUGGGUGGUGGUGCAUGGCCGUCCUCCCUCCCCGCCGUGCGCGUCUGGUAUUCCGAUAACGAACGAGACCUUAACCUGCUAACUAGUCUAUUACAUUUCAUGUAAUUUGACUUCUUAGAGGGACUAUGUAUAUCAAGUACAUGGAAGUUUGAGGCAAUAACAGGUCUGUGAUAACGUAUAUGUCCUGGGCUGCACGCGUGCUACACUGAUGCAUACAACAAGUGCCUAGCUAGACAUAGUAUGGCAAUCUGGAAUAUGCAUCGUGAUGGGGAUAGAUCUUUGCAAUUAUAGAUCUUGCACGAGGAAAUAAAUAGUAAGUGCAAGUCAUCAUCUUGCAUUGAUUA